AAUGUAUUAGGUCUAACCAACUCGUUGAAACAGUUAGCGGUAGUAUCUGUGUAAAAGAGGCUCGGCCUUACAACAAUCUACAAAGUUUGACCUCAAAUCAGGUAGGAAUACCCGCUGAACUUAAGCAUAUCAAUAAGCGGAGGAAAAGAAACCAACAGGGAUUGCCUUAGUAACGGCGAGUGAAGCGGCAAAAGCUCAAAUUUGAAAUCUGGCGUCUUCGGCGUCCGAGUUGUAAUUUGAAGAAGGCUACUUUGGGGCUGGAGUUUGUCUAAGUUCCUUGGAACAGGACGUCACAGAGGGUGAGAAUCCCGUGAGAUAAGCUUCCCAGUUCUAUGUAAAGUGCUUUCGAAGAGUCGAGUUGUUUGGGAAUGCAGCUCUAAGUGGGUGGUAAAUUCCAUCUAAAGCUAAAUAUUGGCGAGAGACCGAUAGCGAACAAGUACAGUGAUGGAAAGAUGAAAAGAACUUUGAAAAGAGAGUGAAAAAGUACGUGAAAUUGUUGAAAGGGAAGGGCUUGAGAUCAGACAUGGUAUUUUGUAAACCUUCUCUCUCGUGGAGGGGGCCCCUUGCAGCUUACUGGGCCAGCAUCAGUUUGGGCGGUAGGAUAAUGACUAAGGAAUGUGACUUGCCUUCGGGGAAGUGUUAUAGCCUUGGUUGAUACUGCCAGCCUAGACUGAGGACCGCGUCUUUGACAAGGAUGUUGGCAUAAUGAUCUUAAGCCACCCGUCUUGAAACACGGACCAAGGAGUCUAACGUCUAUGCGAGUGUUUGGGUGUAAAACCCGUACGCGUAAUG
rnacentral:rRNA from 1 species